UACAGAGGUGGCAAGCGUUGUUCGGAAUUACUGGGCGUAAAGGGCGAGUAGGCGGCCUUCUAAGUCAGACGUGAAAUCCCCCGGCUUAACCUGGGAACUGCGUCUGAUACUGGGAGGCUCGAGUAUGGGAGAGGGAUGUAGAAUUCCAGGUGUAGCGGUGAAAUGCGUAGAUAUCAGGAGGAACACCGGUGGCGAAGGCGGUUCUCUGGGCAUGUCCUGACGCUGAGGAGCGAAAGUGUGGGGAGCGAACAGG
rnacentral:rRNA from 1 species